GUCUAGUGAUGAUAGCGAAGAGGUCACACCCGUUCCCAUGCCGAACACGGAAGUUAAGCUCUUCAGCGCCGAUGGUAGUUGGGGGUUUCCCCCUGUGAGAGUAGGACGUCGCUAGGCG
rnacentral:rRNA from 1 species